UAUAAAACACACCAAUUGGAAUACAUGAUAAUAAGGUUUGGAAGGCACAUACAAAAGUCCAUAUAAGAAUGUUAAGAUUGCCGAUGGAAACGUUGAAAUUUGAACAACGCUCCAUUAUACAAGAACUGAAGUUUCAUGGCUACACAUAUUCUACUUAUAAAGCAUUGGAAAAGAAAAACUGAUAUCUUUCUAGUUUAGCUUGGCUUUGCAAGCUACGUUUGGAGAAUACCAUAUAUCUUCAGCGUAAAGUCUAUCACGGUAGCAACAAUUUUUACUAUGUAGGGAUUGAGUUGGCUCACUAUCUUAUCGUUUUUUGGAGACACUCAUAACUCAACCGUACCAAUUAAGAGGACUACGAGGAGAGAUUUGAUUUUGAACUAUUACGAUUGAUUUAUGGAUUCGUCUUGGAUUACGUGGAUGUGUAUAUUUCCAAGCAGGACAGUAAUGAAGUAGGGUCGUAAGGGAAAAGAGCUUUGAUUUAAACAAAAGACUCUCGGUGUAAAGCUUAGAAUUACAACGUAGAAGCAAUUGAAUCUUGUUUGCUGAUUAGUGUUUUAAUCUCUAUAUAUGCUUGUUUGCUGAUUAGUGUUUUAAUCUCUAUAUUUUUAUAAUUCUUCUUUAAUAUCAAACAACACUAAAAUCUGUAUAGAAAUGUAUAAAACAUCUUAUUAAAUGAAAAAAAAAUAAUUCUUUAAACAUCUUGUAUUAUAGCUAGAGCAGAGGGAAUAUUUACCGACACGUAUGUAAAAACAAAAUAAUCUUAUACAAGUGUCUCCCACACAUCAUACGUUAAUUCUUCUCACGUCAGGCCACCUAUUUGUUAAAAUUGGUAUGAUUAAUACCUAAAUUAUUUGCCCAAAAUAAUAAUAAUAAUAAUAAUACCUAAAUUAUAUGGCUACAUGUUAUUGUUUUAUUUGGUUUUUUUUUAAUUAGGUAACUAUUUAGUACACUAGGUUUUUAAUUAGUUAUAAACAUUCCACUUAUGUACCUUUCCUCUCUUUUUCACUUUACAUUUAACGCUAGUUUAAAACAUUAUAUUUUAGAAGAUUUUUCUCACAACUAGUUGGAAACAUUAGAUUUUAGAAGAAUUUUUAAAAUUUAUGAUUGAAUAACUUAAGAUUUGGUCAAUGUUAACACUAAUCACUUCCAAUGCUUGAUUGAAUACAUCCUAAAUGAUUUAGACNNNNNNNNNNNNNNNNNNNNNNNNNNNNNNNNNNNNNNNNNNNNNNNNNNNNAAAGGUUAUCAUGGUUUCCAUAUUUUGUGGUUUGAUGGGCACGGUUAAUAAGGGCUACUAGACUCUAAUGAAUAACAAGACUCUCUCGUUUUAUUUGAACUUGACGAUUGUGUGUGUAUUACACAGUAUUAGCCUAUC
rnacentral:lncRNA from 1 species